rnacentral:rRNA from 1 species
AGUGAACGCUGGCGGUAGGCCUAACACAUGCAAGUCGAACGGCAGCACAGUAAGAGCUUGCUCUUACGGGUGGCGAGUGGCGGACGGGUGAGGAAUACAUCGGAAUCUACUUUUUCGUGGGGGAUAACGUAGGGAAACUUACGCUAAUACCGCAUACGACCUACGGGUGAAAGCAGGGGAUCUUCUGACCUUGCGCGAUUGGAUGAGCCGAUGUCGGAUUAGCUAGUUGGCGGGGUAAAGGCCCACCAAGGCGACGAUCCGUAGCUGGUCUGAGAGGAUGAUCAGCCACACUGGAACUGAGACACGGUCCAGACUCCUACGGGAGGCAGCAGUGGGGAAUAUUGGACAAUGGGCGCAAGCCUGAUCCAGCCAUACCGCGUGGGUGAAGAAGGCCUUCGGGUUGUAAAGCCCUUUUGUUGGGAAAGAAAAGCAGCAGGUUAAUACCCCGCUGUUCUGACGGUACCCAAAGAAUAAGCACCGGCUAACUUCGUG